rnacentral:rRNA from 1 species
UGGGGAAUAUUGCACAAUGGGCGCAAGCCUGAUGCAGCCAUGCCGCGUGUGUGAAGAAGGCCUUCGGGUUGUAAAGCACUUUCAGCGAGGAGGAAGGGUAGUGUGUUAAUAGCACAUUGCAUUGACGUUACUCGCAGAAGAAGCACCGGCUAACUCCGUGCCAGCAGCCGCGGUAAUACGGAGGGUGCAAGCGUUAAUCGGAAUUACUGGGCGUAAAGCGCACGCAGGCGGUUUGUUAAGUCAGAUGUGAAAUCCCCGCGCUUAACGUGGGAACUGCAUUUGAAACUGGCAAGCUAGAGUCUUGUAGAGGGGGGUAGAAUUCCAGGUGUAGCGGUGAAAUGCGUAGAGAUCUGGAGGAAUACCGGUGGCGAAGGCGGCCCCCUGGACAAAGACUGACGCUC